rfam:Bacillus sp. FJAT-27997 Scaffold1, whole genome shotgun sequence.
ACGAUGUUCCGCUGCAACGCUAAUGUUGGCAAGAGCAUCCG